CACAAAAUCAUCUUCUCAUCUCCUCUUCCCCAAUUUCAUCUCAAAACCCUCGCACCAAUCCACCGUAACCCUUCCACCGUUCAGCACUGCCACGAAACACCUCUCAACACUCCUCUAACAAAUUCUUAUGUUGGAACCCACUCCGGUUCCAAAUCGAUAAACGAAUCGGUGAACGGGUUGCGUGAUUUCACGAUCAGAUGACCGGCCAGAUGGUAAUCCAGUUACAACCGCUCUGAGAGAGAUAGAAAUUGACGAUGACGUUGGUGAGUCUCCGCCCCUAUCAUCACCACUACCACCACCGCCUCACACUGCCAGCAGUUGUAGUAGUUGAAAACCCUAGACGGUCGGUUCCUGUCUCCCAAAUCCCAUCUUUUUACCCUAAUAUUAAAGAACUUUUUUGUCCAACACUGAAGAACCCUAAACGGCGAUUGUGACGACGGUGGCGAAUCUGGUCUGGAUUUUGCCAGGUUCUUUCAGAAAGGUUGAUCACUUCUGAGGAUAUAUCCUGGUGUAUCACAUUAUUGUCCCGUUUUGAUAUAGAGACGAAGACAUAACAGCUCGGACACAGGAGGCCCAUCAAGAUCUUUUGGGUUGGUUUGGUGAUGAUGGUUGUUGCGUUGGAGGUGGAGGUGGUGGGUAAAUGAUGAACAGGGUUUGAGUGUUUGGUUGCAGAAGUUGAAAAGCCUACAAAGAUGGGUGAAAGAAUGGUGUUUUGAAUCAAAAGAAGAGAUAUAGUGGCUGGCGUUGACAACAGUCAGUGUUUGCGAAACAAUCGAGGCCGAUGAUUUUGAACCAACUUGGUACAUAUUUCGUUUUCCCUCACAAGGUACUUCCAUAGCUUGCUUUGUUCUUACGCAUGUUUUUUUAUGAAGAGACUUUUGAGGUUAUAUGGCAGGGUAUUCUAAGUCUCCGGUUCUCAUACCACCUAGGGUUCUACCCUUGCUUCAUGAUUUAGCACAACAUAUGGUGCAUGCUGGUCACACUUACAGGUCAUUUGCAAAGAAAACUGGAACUCCACAACAAGCUUUAAAUGAUCCGAAAGUUGAAGUUCCACCAUUG